rnacentral:lncRNA from 1 species
CGACUCCAUUUUUUUCUUUCAGUGUUUGAACGAAUACAACGUCGCCCGGUUAUUAUACGAGAAAAAUAGCAUAAAAAUGUAUUUUAAACAGCGUUUGACAUGCUUCGAAGUACGGUAAUGGAAUAUUUGGAUUUUUUUGGUCACGAAAUGCGCCGGCGCAUCACCCUUCGGAUAGUGACUUGAACGCACGAACAAAACGGAGCUAUUUGGAUAUAACUAUGGAUUAUUUCGAACCAAAACAACAUUUGUUGUUGAAGUAGAAGUCCUGGGAGUGCAUUCUGACGAAGAUCAGCAAAGAACUGUAAGAAAACCAGUAUCUGGUGGAAGAGGUUGACUGUUCACCCCAGAGCAGGAGACCCACAUUGUAAAUAUGGUCAUUGCAAAUAACUGCAUGAGACUCAGAGAACUGCAGGACCACAUAAUGGCAGAUAACACCAUAUUCCAAAACGUCAACAGAAGUCAUGGAGCUAGAAGCAGAUGCAGUGCAUCAUGAGCUAAUAUAUGUGGACAAGGCAUGUUUCAACCUUGCAAAAACAAGGGGCCGUGGCAGAAAUAUCAUCAGACACCGUGCAAUCAUCAACAUCCCAGAACAACGUGGUGGCAACAUAACAAUGUGUGCGGUUAUUAGUCAAAACGGCGUCCUUCACCAUCAUGCAAUACCAGGCCCAUAUAACACUGCACACAUUAUCACAUUUCUGGACACCCUCAACAACAGACUAUUCCCUAAUGACCAAGGGUCAGAGCAGCCCAGGUACGUUAUCAUCUG